AGGGCACCACCAGGAGUGGAGCCUGCGGCUUAAUUUGACUCAACACGGGAAAACUCACCCGGCCCGGACACCGGAAGGAUUGACAGAUUGAUAGCUUUUUCAUGAUUCGGUGGAUGGUGGUGCAUGGCCGUUCUUAGUUCGUGGAUCGAUUUGUCUGGUUUAUUCCGAUAACGAGCGAGACUCCAGCCUACUAACUAGUACGGGCAUUGCCUCUGUGCCCGGCACUUCUUAGAGGGAUUGGCUGCGUCUAGCGGCACGAAACGGAGCAAUAACAGGUCUGUGAUGCCCUUAGAUGUCCGGGGCUGCACGCGCGCUACACUGGCAAAGGCAGCGUGCUUGUCCUUCUCCGAAAGGAGCGGGUAAACCCUUGAAAAUUUGCCGUGAUUGGGAUCGGAAAUUGCAAUUAUUUUCCGUGAACGAGGAAUUCCUAGUAAGUGCGAGUCAUCAGCUCGCGUUGAUUACGUCCCUGCCCUUUGUACACACCGCCCGUCGCUGCCUAGAACUGAGCCAUUUCGAGAA
rnacentral:rRNA from 1 species